GUCCCAACCAUGACCACCAGCAGCCACUGUUGUUCGCUAAUCGUCUUCCUCAACAGAAACUAAAGCUAUAUAUGCAUAGAAAUGGCAGACCCAAACUCCACCAGCAGUAUCACCGCCAAACCCAGAGUCGUGAUAUGCAUAGGUGACAUCCAUGGCUACUUCGCCAAGCUCCAAAACCUCUGGUCCAAUCUCCAAACCGUAAUCAACCCAGAGGAUUUUAGCUCCGCUUUGGUCAUCUUUCUGGGUGAUUACUGUGACAGAGGUCCAGAUACUAAGAAAGUCGUAGAUUUCUUGAUUGAUUUGCCCUUGGCC
rnacentral:misc_RNA from 1 species